rnacentral:rRNA from 1 species
UACGUAGGGGGCAAGCGUUGUCCGGAAUCAUUGGGCGUAAAGAGCGCGUAGGCGGCCCGAUAAGUCCGCUGUGAAAGUCCAGGGCUCAACCCUGGGAUGCCGGUGGAUACUGUCGGGCUAGAGUACGGAAGAGGCGAGUGGAAUUCCCGGUGUAGCGGUGAAAUGCGCAGAUAUCGGGAGGAACACCAAUUGCGAAGGCAGCUCGCUGGGACGUCACUGACGCUGAGACGCGAAAGCGUGGGGAGCAAACAGG